AGAGAAUCAGCCCUGGGGACUUCAUUUCAGCUCCUGCCUGAUGUCUGUCUGCCUGCAGCUUGCUAAGCUUCCCAGGCUUUCUGGAAGCGUCCGCACCGUGUCCUUGUCUUCACUGGGUCUCUUCCUUCUCGAAUAGGGAAGACAUCUUCCAGGUGGGGUUUUCUCUCUGCUUCUGGGAAGAAAAAGGAGAGGGUCACGGCGGCUUUCUUGAACCUGCUGCUUUUUCAAGUACCUUGAGCUCAAAAUAAAUUUUAUGUCAAAGCCUCGUA